AGGGCUGGGAACACAAAAGGCCGGAGCUGGGGCUUCGCUGGCUGGGCUAAUGCCUAGAGGGGAGGCCCUUUUCUCCACGGGCUUAGGCUGCGAGCGACCCUUGAAUUUGGCGGGCCUUGCUUCCCAGCAGGGAGGGUCAGAAUCGCACUACUGAGCUGACUUGGGAAGGAAAACCUGUCGCACGAAGUAGCCUCUCCAUAGGGUUGCACUGUGGGCAUCUUGAGAGGACACAAACCAUAGAAUCCUAGAGUUGGAAGGGACCGCUGAGGGUCAUCUAGCCCAACCCCCUGCAAUGCCAGCAUAGGCAGCUGUCCCAUGCGGGUAUCGAACCUGCAUCCUUGGUCAUUAUCAGCACCAGGCUCUUACCAACUGGGCUAUCCAGGCGCUUUAGGAGUCUUCGCUCCUGAGCACAGCAUUAUUGAAGACAAUGUGGUUUGGGUGGCCCUCGCCAAAGUGAUGGAUAACAUUUUGGGCAGAUGAGGCAAAUGCAGUGAGGUGAAGGUCGCCAGUGCCUACCCACUAUUCUCCCUGCUGUGUUUGAGGCAGCAGCGUACCUCUGAAUGCCAGUUGCUGAGAACGGCAGGGCUGCUAUUCUUAUUUAAAACAUUUACAUACUACCAUUUCUUCCAAAAAAAGCUCAAGGUGGUGUACAAGGUGAUGACCCUUGGGAUCCCUUCCAACAACCUUGUAAGGUAGGUUGCGUUGGUGGCUGGCCUAAGAUGAUAAUAACAACAACAAUAAUAAUUUUUUAUUUGUACUCAGCCAGGGCUGGGCUCAGGGCAGCUAACACCAAAUAUCCAUAAAACGUAAUAGAGGGGGGGAAACAGUUAAUUAAAAUACGGCUUAAAAUUCAGCUUAAAAUGCAGCCUCAUUUUAGUAGUAGCCCAUAAAUCAAGACCAUAAAGGGAGGAAACAUCAGAUAUUAACCCGAGCCAGCUAUCCAUGCUGGUCCUACAUGGGCCAGCAAAAAAGCCAAGGGAAAAUUUAUAUACCAAAUCCCAUAUAAGGGGUCAGAGUGAGUCCAAGCCGAAGGCCAGGCGGAACAGGUCCUGCAGAAAGAUGUCAAAUCCCACAGGGCCCUGGUCUCUUGUGACAGAGUGUUCCACCAAAUCGGGACCAGUGCUGAAAAGGCCCUGGCCCUAGUUGAAACCAAUCUAACCUUCUUCAGGCUCGGGACCUCCAAAGUGUUGUUAUUUAUGGACCUUAAGGUCCUCCGCAGGGCAUACCCAAUGAGUUUCAUGGCCAAGUGGGGAUUCGAACCCUGGUCUCUCAGUUCAUAGUCCCAAUGCUAACUCAGUGGUUCUCAAGCUUUUUGCUCUGGACCACAUUUUCAGAAUAAGAAUUUGCUCACUCCACACUGAAUUUUUAAUUGAUAAGAAAUACAUUGGAAAACAAAAAUAAAACUCCUAGCAGUGGUUGAUUUAUAAUGUAGACAACUACUUUAUAGUAUGAUAAUGGGGCAACCAGAAAGUAUAAAACAAAAGAAAAUGAAUCAUUCCCAAGAUAUAAAUGAGCCUUGUUACUUAUGUACCUUAACUAUGUGUACAAACUCAAUGAGUGAGCUUGCUUUCGUUGGGUAAUCUUAUUUAUAGUAGGUCUAAUCAAAACACUCAAAUUAGACCUAUGCAAAUAAGCCUUUCUCUUCUGACCUUUAAUUUUUUCAGAAAAUAUAUUCUGCAAAUAAUAAUAAAAUACUAUACUACACUAC